UACGGGGGGGGCAAGCGUUGUUCGGAAUUACUGGGCGUAAAGGGCUCGUAGGCGGCCAACUAAGUCGGAUGUGAAAUCCCCAGGCUUAACCUGGGAACUGCAUCCGAUACUGGAUGGCUUGAAUCCGGGAGAGGGAUGCAGAAUUCCAGGUGUAGCGGUGAAAUGCGUAGAUAUCUGGAGGAACACCGAUGGCGAAGGCAGGUCACUGGGCCGCAACUGACGCUGAGGAGCGAAAGCAUGGGGAGCGAACAGG
rnacentral:rRNA from 1 species